CGAGCACUUCUUCUCGAGUGGGAUGGUCACAGGACAAUGGUGCCCUUACAGCAGCAGGAGAGAGCCACGCUGCUAGGGUCCGCAGCCUGGGAGGCAGCCAGCAAUUAGCUGCUGAUGAGGUCUGAGAGGGUGACACAGGUGCUGCCAAUUCUCUCUCUCAAAGGACCCGAGGCUUCCUAAGCCUGCCAGUUUGCACAAAGGGUACAAAAAGGUGGGGAGAGCUGUCGGAAAGCAGAGACAGGACAAAAAUCACAAGCUGUACAAAGGUAGGAGGUGUCUAAAAGCAGGGACGGUCCAGUCACGGCAGGACCCUAUACUUCACAGGGGCAGAGGACUCUCCAGACGGGAGAGAGAGAGACUUCUCCAGCCACAGAUCAAACCAGAAACUUCAGGAGUUGAGAGUUGAUGGCAUGCUGCACUUAGUGUUUUGAUGAGUUUACACUCCAUGAAGAGGAAGGAAAUAUCCCCCUGCACAGCAUAUGGCAUCUCUACAGGAGAUAGCAACAAGAAACGACCUUCAAGGGACCAUCUGCCAGUUCUGCUCUAGUCACACCUCCUCCUUGCCCACAACAUGACCCUUAUACCAAGGAGACCAGCAAAGGAUGCACAUGGGAAACAUCCUAAACAGUUAAAGCUCAUGCUAGUCUUGCAUCAUUCACUUCACCUUUGUUAGAGUUUUUCCCCAUCAAAUGCCAAGAGCAUUUAACCUUUAGCACUGUUGUCCAGGA